GACUGGCGGCGUGCUUACACAUGCAAGUCGAACGGUGAAGCCAAGCUUGCUUGGUGGAUCAGUGGCGAACGGGUGAGUAACACGUGAGCAACCUGCCCUGGACUCUGGGAUAAGCGCUGGAAACGGCGUCUAAUACUGGAUAUGAGCUCCUUCCGCAUGGUGGGGGUUGGAAAGAUUUUUCGGUCUGGGAUGGGCUCGCGGCCUAUCAGCUUGUUGGUGAGGUAAUGGCUCACCAAGGCGUCGACGGGUAGCCGGCCUGAGAGGGUGACCGGCCACACUGGGACUGAGACACGGCCCAGACUCCUACGGGAGGCAGCAGUGGGGAAUAUUGCACAAUGGGCGGAAGCCUGAUGCAGCAACGCCGCGUGAGGGAUGACGGCCUUCGGGUUGUAAACCUCUUUUAGCAGGGAAGAAGCGAAAGUGACGGUACCUGCAGAAAAAGCGCCGGCUAACUACGUGCCAGCAGCCGCGGUAAUACGUAGGGCGCAAGCGUUAUCCGGAAUUAUUGGGCGUAAAGAGCUCGUAGGCGGUUUGUCGCGUCUGCUGUGAAAUCCCGAGGCUCAACCUCGGGCCUGCAGUGGGUACGGGCAGACUAGAGUGCGGUAGGGGAGAUUGGAAUUCCUGGUGUAGCGGUGGAAUGCGCAGAUAUCAGGAGGAACACCGAUGGCGAAGGCAGAUCUCUGGGCCGUAACUGACGCUGAGGAGCGAAAGGGUGGGGAGCAAACAGGCUUAGAUACCCUGGUAGUCCACCCCGUAAACGUUGGGAACUAGUUGUGGGGACCAUUCCACGGUUUCCGUGACGCAGCUAACGCAUUAAGUUCCCCGCCUGGGGAGUACGGCCGCAAGGCUAAAACUCAAAGGAAUUGACGGGGACCCGCACAAGCGGCGGAGCAUGCGGAUUAAUUCGAUGCAACGCGAAGAACCUUACCAAGGCUUGACAUAUACGAGAACGGGCCAGAAAUGGUCAACUCUUUGGACACUCGUAAACAGGUGGUGCAUGGUUGUCGUCAGCUCGUGUCGUGAGAUGUUGGGUUAAGUCCCGCAACGAGCGCAACCCUCGUUCUAUGUUGCCAGCACGUAAUGGUGGGAACUCAUGGGAUACUGCCGGGGUCAACUCGGAGGAAGGUGGGGAUGACGUCAAAUCAUCAUGCCCCUUAUGUCUUGGGCUUCACGCAUGCUACAAUGGCCGGUACAAAGGGCUGCAAUACCGUAAGGUGGAGCGAAUCCCAAAAAGCCGGUCCCAGUUCGGAUUGAGGUCUGCAACUCGACCUCAUGAAGUCGGAGUCGCUAGUAAUCGCAGAUCAGCAACGCUGCGGUGAAUACGUUCCCGGGUCUUGUACACACCGCCCGUCAAGUCAUGAAAGUCGGUAACACCUGAAGCCGGUGGCCCAACCCUUGUGGAGGGAGCCGUCGAAGGUGGAUCGGUACUUGGC
rnacentral:rRNA from 1 species